rnacentral:rRNA from 1 species
GACAGAGGGUGCAAGCGUUAAUCGGAAUUACUGGGCGUAAAGCGCGCGUAGGUGGUUUGUUAAGUUGAAUGUGAAAUCCCCGGGCUCAACCUGGGAACUGCAUGCAAAACUGGCAAAGCUAGAGUAUGGUAGAGGGUGGUGGAAUUUCCUGUGUAAGCGGUGAAAUGCGUAGAUAUAGGAAGGAACACCAGUGGUCGAAGGCGAACACCUGGACUGAUACUGACAC